UCCCCUACGGGGCGCAGCAGUGGGGGAUAUUGCACAAUGGGGGAAACCCUGAUGCAGCGACGCCGCGUGAGUGAAGAAGUAUUUCGGUACGUAAAGCUCUAUCAGCAGGGAAGAAUAAUGACGGUACCUGACUAAGAAGCCCCGGCUAACUACGUGCCAGCAGCCGCGGUAAUACGUAGGGGGCAAGCGUUAUCCGGAUUUACUGGGUGUAAAGGGAGCGUAGACGGCGAUGCAAGUCUGAAGUGAAAGGCGGGGGCCCAACCCCCGGACUGCUUUGGAAACUGUGUGGCUGGAGUGCAGGAGAG
rnacentral:rRNA from 1 species